rnacentral:SRP_RNA from 1 species
GCCGGGCGCGGUGGCGCACGCCUGUAGUCCCAGCUACUCGGGAGGCUGAGACAGGAGGAUCGCUUGAGUCCAGGAGUUCUGGGCUGUAGUGCGCUAUGCCGAUCGGGUGUCCGCACUAAGUUCGGCAUCAAUAUGGUGACCUCCCGGGAGCGGGGGACCACCAGGUUGCCUAAGGAGGGGUGAACCGGCCCAGGUCGGAAACGGAGCAGGUCAAAACUCCCGUGCUGAUCAGUAGUGGGAUCGCGCCUGUGAAUAGCCACUGCACUCCAGCCUGGGCAACAUAGCGAGACCCCGUCU